AACUAAAACAUAUUAUCUGCAAAAAUCCUGAAAUAAAUUAAUGCAAAAAAGAUAUUGUGUUUUGCAGGACCUUGUUUGAUAUCAUGAGAAAUUUUUAUUUCCAAAGUGGGGCAAUCAUUUUGAGAGCUUGUCCAUAGAUCUGUAGUUUUAUUCCAAUUCAGUUUAUUUAUUUACCACCUAAUCACAACAUAAGGUGCUUUAACAAGGGUAACAGAUUUAUCCAUUUGAUAAACAGGAAUUUGAAGACAGUAUUGAUAAAUAAAAUGUUUGUUUUUCUCAGUAAAAUUAUUAUUUUUCUGGCUUGAGUUGUUAGAAUACUUUCUCUAUAUGACAUGCUUUUUUGUCAUUUUAGACUUUUAAGCAGUUUUUGACAUCGAUUUCUAUUUAAUACACUAGAUGGCAGAUGCAGCCUGUGAGCUGUUGCCAGGCAGCCACCAUCUUGUCGUCAGGCAUUCGAUUAAAUAUAAAUCUAAGAUGCGCUUACUUAAGCUCGGGCUAAAGUGAUCUGAAAAUGCUCCGUUCGGGUCCUGCAGUAAGCUCACAAAGGAUUGUGGAACGAGCUUUCAUAAGUGAGUCUUAUAUGUUAUAUAAUGAUGUUAAUCUGUAUUCUGUAAAGUAGUGACUUCAGUUUUACUGCGUGAAUGCUUUGUCAUAAAAAAAUUGCACCAUUUGUUUAGAGAUUCAAAUUUUCUAUCCUGCGAUAUUCAGUAAGAGCAAAUUCAUAGAAUGGAAAUUGUUUUUUCUCUCAAUUUGGUGGUCGCAUUGUUGGGCCAUAAUGGAAACAAGCAUUUAUUUAUUUAUUUGCUUUUUUUUUGUGUUACCCUGUAUUUUAUGUAUUUGUGUUUAGUUAAGACAUUUUUCGAUAUGAAUAAAAAUCAAUCAGUUGCUAACCAUCUUUGACCUUGUAUAUUCUGCUAAUAAUAUAAGUGAGAUUAAUUUCUUGAUAUACUCCAUAUUCCAAUGUAUUGCUUUCAGAUUUCUUUCAACUUGGUCCAGAAAUUAUUGAAUAAUUUUACAGGGGUGAAAGGAAGCCCUCUACAGCUGGUGCACAGGGCUACGCCCCUGCAGCAUCAAAUGCCAUGUUUGACUGUGACAUAAAACAAGACAAAAAAGUUAAAAAUACAGCAUGACAGGAUGAAUCUACAUCCCAUGCAGAGUAAGAGGAGACUGGAAGGUGAAAAGGGGGCAUCUGUGUUCUGCACGCUGACACGCACACACAUGUAUUGGCUCCUGCUAGAGUGGAGCACACAUGAUUGGAGUUAACACGAACUUAAGGGGAAAACUGCUGUACAGACAAAACUGGCCGGCAUGGGAGACACAAUGUGUUUAAAUAUGUUUCUGUUCGACAAACUGAUGGUAUUAUUUUCUAUCUUGAUAAAGAUAAUGAUUUUAGUGGUCCGGAUAGUAUAAACAAAAUUUAGAACUCCAGGUGAACUCUCCACAACAUCUGGACUGGGACUAACAAAUUAAAGUCUAUUAUAUAAAUAGUCUAAUCCUCUUCUGUAUUUGUUUUGAUAAAUAUUGGCUGUACAAAUGUGGGACUGAGUCUGAAUAAACGUAAUAAAAUGGAAAAUGCAGAUUUAUCAUGUAACUCUGGAAAACAAUGAUCAUGCUCAUUGAUUUCUACUUAUGCCUGAUUGUCAGAUGCUAACCAAGAUGACGGCGCUCUGGCAACAGCCAGUGGAAUGAGUCGAUCCACCCUGCUCAGAUUUUUGAUCAUUUAUGUAUGUGUUUCAGUGAUUAAUUGAGAGUUUAA